UACGAAGGGGGCUAGCGUUGUUCGGAAUUACUGGGCGUAAAGGGCGCGCAGGCGGCCUAUCAAGUCAGAUGUGAAAGCCCCGGGCUCAACCUGGGAACUGCAUUUGAGACUGAUAGGCUUGAGUUCGGGAGAGGAGAGCGGAAUUCCCAGUGUAGAGGUGAAAUUCGUAGAUAUUGGGAAGAACACCGGUGGCGAAGGCGGCUAUCUGGACCGACAUUGACGCUGAGGCGCGAAAGCGUGGGGAGCAAACAGG
rnacentral:rRNA from 1 species